rnacentral:siRNA from 1 species
CUCUCCAUCCUUCCGCCACGUC